AGGAUUACACCUAUUCUCGAGGACAUGAAAAGGAGUCGCCAAGGAAGCGAAAAAGACAAUUAAAACGACAUUGUGAUCGGAAAAACAACAGACCAAAGUCAAUAUUGGAAUGGCUUUUCUAAGAUGGAAAGAGCUUGUGAGGAGCAAGGAUUUUAAAAGGGACGCCGAAGUUGCCUGCUUUCUUCUCGACAGCUAUGAGAGAGAACUGAGAGCAGUCACAUCAACACCAAUGAAGGGAAAGCCCUCUAGUAUUAACUACUCCAGAAGUGUCCAGCAUUUCUAGUGGGCCAGACAGAUGAGCAUCUUGGCACAACUGCAGAAGCCCCUGAAAUUGAGAACCUUGAACAGAGGUAACCCAUCAAUGCUCAUAAUGUCUAUACCCUAACCAUUUAUAUAUAUUUUUUUACAAAGCCUACAUGACAUGAGCAUCGU